CCUACGGGCGGCAGCAGUGGGGAAUAUUGCACAAUGGGGGAAACCCUGAUGCAGCGACGCCGCGUGAGUGAAGAAGUAUCUCGGUAUGUAAAGCUCUAUCAGCAGGGAAGAAAAUGACGGUACCUGACUAAGAAGCCCCGGCUAACUACGUGCCAGCAGCCGCGGUAAUACGUGGGGGGCAAGCGUUAUCCGGAUUUAUUGGGGGUAAAGUGAGCGUAGGCGGCGCUGCAAGUCCUGUGUGAAAGCCUAUGGGUUAACCAUGGUACUGCUCUGGAAACUGGGGAGCUGGAGUGCGGGAGGGGGAGGCGGAAUGCCGAGUGUAGCGGGGAAAUGCGUAGAUAUUAGGAGGAACACCGGCGGCGAAGGCGGCCUGCUGGACCGUAACUGACGUUGAGGCUCGAAAGCGUGGGGAGCAAACAGGAUUAGAUACCCGUGUAGUC
rnacentral:rRNA from 1 species